rnacentral:rRNA from 1 species
GACGAACCGUGCGAACGUUAUUCGGAAUCACUGGGCUUAAAGCGCGUGUAGGCGGGCCGGCACGUCGGUCGCUAAAAUCCCCCGGCUCAACCGGGGAACCGGCGCCGAUACGACCGGCCUGGAGGGGCGUAGGGGGAUCGGGAACUCCGGGUGGAGCGGUGAAAUGCGUUGAGAUCGGAAGGAACGCCGUGGCGAAAGCGCGGUCCUGGACGCCUACUGACGCUGAGACGCGAAAGCCAGGGGAGCGAACGGG